CACUGUCCACACAAAGUCUGUUCUGGCUGUGAGUGAAGCACUACAUCUUACGGUAAUCCAAAUUGCAUACGUAUGGGCUUACAACACCAAAAAAAGCACCGUUUGACAGUAGCUUGGAGCUAGCUAUUUAUAAUAAUUUGAGAAAGAAACACAUCUUAUACUAAGAUUUCUCUUUUUUAUUUAAUUUUUUUUUUUGAAAUUUCAAUGGCUUCCCAAGAUACACAGCUUCACUUUCUCAUGUUUCCUCUUAUGGCACAAGGUCACAUGAUUCCAAUGGUAGACAUAGCCAGAAUGAUGGCAGAACGUGGUGCCAAGAUCACCAUAGUCACCACACCAGGCAACGCAGCCCGUUUCGAAAGAGUUCUUGCUCGUGCCAUUGAAAACGGGCUAAGUAUCCAUUUAGUCCAACUGAGGUUUCCUUCAAAAGAAGCAGGAUUACCUGAAGAGUGUGAGAAUUUCGAUACAAUGCCUUCUCUAGGUUGUGCCUCAAAACUCUUUCACGCAGCCUCUAUGAUGCAACAGCCAGCAGAGAAAAGGUUUGAAGAGCUUAUGCCUAGGCCAAAUUGCAUAAUAUCUGACAUGAGUUUGCCUUGGACAAUAAACAUAGCUCGAAAGUUCAACAUUCCAAGGAUAUCAUUCCCUGGAAUAUGCUGCUUCUGCAUGUUAUGCUUGUACAAUGUGCACAGUUCUAAGGUUCUUGACAAUAUAAGUUCUGAAACAGAGCGCUUUGUUCUCCCUGAUUUGUCAGACCGGAUUGAGAUUACCAAAGCUCAGCUACCACUUACUGCAACGAGUUCAGAUCUGAAAGAAUUUCAUGACCAAAGAAUGAAAGCUGAGAUAGAGUCUUAUGGAGUAAUCAUUAAUAGUUUUGAAGAGUUGGAGCAUGCAUAUGUCCAAGACUACAAGAAGGUGAGGAAUGGUAAAGUUUGGUGUAUUGGCCCGGUUUCCUUAUGCAACAAAGAUGAAUUGGACAAGGCUGAAAGAGGUAACAAGUCUUCUGUUGAUGAACAUCAGUGUCUAAAGUGGCUUGAUUUGUGGAAACCCGCCUCUGUAGUUUAUGUUUGCCUAGGAAGCUUAUGUAAUUUGGUAACUUCACAGUUUAUAGAACUUGGACUAGGCUUGGAGGCUUCAAACAAAUCGUUUAUUUGGGUUAUAAGAGGAGGGACUAGUACUUCAGAUGAGGUAGAGAAGUGGAUCAAAGAAGAUGGGUUUGAAAAAAGGACCAAGGAAAGAGGGCUGGUCAUCCGCGGUUGGGCUCCACAAGUACUAAUCUUCUCACACCCUGCAGUUGGAGUGUUCUUAACUCACUGUGGAUGGAAUUCAACUCUUGAAGGAAUAUGUGCAGGGGUUCCCUUGGUUACCUGGCCGCUAUUUGGUGACCAGUUUCUUAAUGAGAAACUGGUUGCACAAGUUUUGAAGAUAGCUGUAACUCUGGGGUUGGAAGAGCCAAUGAAAUGGGGAGAGGAAGAGAAAAGUGGAGUCAACGUGAAGAGGGAAACUAUUAAGAGUGCUUUAGAGGAAGUGUUGGGUGAAGGAGAAGAAAGCAAGGAGAGAAGGGAAAGAGCUAGAAAGCUUGGGGAAAUGGCAAAGAGAGCCGUUGAAGAAGGUGGGUCUUCACACCUCAAUAUGGCAUUGUUUUUAGAAGACAUCGUACAUUUAGAAGGCAAUAAUCAGUAGCAAGAGUAAGAAAAGAGCUAGAAGCGCUGUACUUUCUUGUUUUUUAGGAAAAAUUGUUUUGAAUGUUAUUUGUUGAUUCAAAAGUUCUACUUUAUAUGCAUAAUUUUGUUUUUCUUUGAUGAUCUAUCAAAAGUAUUUCAUAAGCAGAGAUGUUGUGUUCGGGGAAGACAGUUUAUAAGGGCCUAUUUUGAGAGAACAACCUGUGAAAUCAAAUCAGGAGGCCAGCAAUAAAGUACAGUUUAAGGUGGAGACUGAUGAUGAGAAUUCUAAGGAGCAAUAGGAAAUGGUUACUACAGAUGAAACAGGAGAAGAAAUCUUGGAUGAUGAUGAGCACUACAUAUAACAGAGGGUGAAGUUGAUCAAAAUCCAGGAGUUGAGGCUGCUGUGACAUGGGGUUUGGAGGACAUAUCCGGGUUGGUAAUGAAAAGAGAGAGUGAAUAAAGCUAUAGACAAGGUAAUGGAGAAAGGAAAAGAAGCUGAGGAAAGAAGAAAGAAAGUAAGGGAGCUUGAUAAAAAGAGCAAUAGGAGAAGGUGGAUCUUCUCACCUUACCAUGGAAAUUUUUAAUCCAAUAUGUGAAAAAACAACAAUUGCUUAGGCUUGAAAAAUGACAUCAAAUCUAGUUGAUGUAUGGAAGAUAAGCUAGAAAAUCCUUUUAAUUUAUUUCUAUCUUUUUGUUACUAUUGGAGGAUUUUAUACAUCCUCCUAUAUGGAAGUAUAUAAUCCCAGUUAUAUCUUUUUCUGGGAAAGCUUAUUAAUAUUUGAAAUAUGCUCGUUUUGUUAUCUGUAA